rnacentral:rRNA from 1 species
CCUACGGGGGGCAGCAGUGAGGAAUAUUGGUCAAUGGACGAGAGUCUGAACCAGCCAAGUAGCGUGAAGGAUGACUGCCCUAUGGGUUGUAAACUUCUUUUAUAUGGGAAUAAAAUGUUCCACGUGUGGGAUUUUGUAUGUACCAUAUGAAUAAGGAUCGGCUAACUCCGUGCCAGCAGCCGCGGUAAUACGGAGGAUCCGAGCGUUAUCCGGAUUUAUUGGGUUUAAAGGGAGCGUAGGUGGAUUGUUAAGUCAGUUGUGAAAGUUUGCGGCUCAACCGUAAAAUUGCAGUUGAAACUGGCAGUCUUGAGUACAGUAGAGGUGGGCGGAAUUCGUGGUGUAGCGGUGAAAUGCUUAGAUAUCACGAAGAACUCCGAUUGCGAAGGCAGCUCACUGGACUGCAACUGACACUGAGGCUCGAAAGUGUGGGUAUCAAACA